rnacentral:rRNA from 1 species
AGAGUUUGAUCAUGGCUCAGAUUGAACGCUGGCGGCAUGCUUUACACAUGCAAGUCGAACGGCAGCACAGGGGAGCUUGCUCCCGGGUGGCGAGUGGCGCACGGGUGAGUAAUACAUCGGAACGUGUCCUGUUNUGGGGGAUAACUGCUCGAAAGGGUGGCUAAUACCGCAUGAGACCUGAGGGUGAAAGCGGGGGAUCGCAAGACCUCGCGCAAUUGGAGCGGCCGAUGCCCGAUUAGCUAGUUGGUGAGGUAAAGGCUCACCAAGGCGACGAUCGGUAGCUGGUCUGAGAGGACGACCAGCCACACUGGGACUGAGACACGGCCCAGACUCCUACGAGAGGCAGCA